rnacentral:rRNA from 1 species
UACGUAGGGUGCAAGCGUUGUCCGGAAUUAUUGGGCGUAAAGGGCUCGUAGGCGGUCCGUCACGUCGGCUGUGAAAACCCGGGGCUCAACCCCGGGCCUGCAGUCGAUACGGGCGGACUAGAGUUCGGCAGGGGAGACUGGAAUUUCUGGUGUAGCGGUGAAAUGCGCAGAUAUCAGGAGGAACACCGGUGGCGAAGGCGGGUCUCUGGGCCGAUACUGACGCUGAGGAGCGAAAGCGUGGGGAGCGAACAGG